CGCUGACCGUCCGCCCGUGGAGCCGGCAGCGGAGGACGAGCGGCGGCACGACGAGGACCGACGACGACGACGACGACGACGACGACGACGACGAGGACGAGCGGAGCCUGCGGACGGCCCUCAAGAAGCUGCGGCUGGACGCGGCGCGGCGGCACGAGGACGAGGAGGAGCAGCAGCAGCAGCAGCAGGACGACGACGAGGACGAGGACGACGACGACGACGACGAGGACGAGGAGGAGCGCAGCCUGCGGACGGCCCUCCAGGAGCUGCGGGUGGACGCGGCGCGGUGUGAGAGGACUGCAGGAGGACCGGCCGGUCUCUCACGGCACGGACGUUC
rnacentral:lncRNA from 1 species